rnacentral:rRNA from 1 species
AAUCAACGCUGGCGGCGUGCCUAACACAUGCAAGUCGAACGCGACUUAGGCUUCGGUCUAAGUUGAGUGGCGAACGGGUGAGUAACACGUGGGUGACCUACCUUCGAGUGGGGGAUAACGUCCCGAAAGGGACGCUAAUACCGCAUAACAUCCUGCCUUUGAACAGGUGGAGAUCAAAGCCGGGGAUCGCAAGACCUGGCGCUUGAUGAGGGGCCCGCGCCUGAUUAGCUAGUUGGUGGGGUAAUGGCUCACCAAGGCGACGAUCAGUAUCCGGCCUGAGAGGGCGGACGGACACACUGGGACUGAGACACGGCCCAGACUCCUACGGGAGGCAGCAGUGGGGAAUUGUUCGCAAUGGGCGCAAGCCUGACGACGCAACGCCGCGUGGAGGAUGAAGGUCUUCGGAUUGUAAACUCCUGUUGCUCGGGACGAACAGCUCCGACCUAAUACGUCGGAGUCCGACGGUACCGAGUGAGGAAGCCCCGGCUAACUCUGUGC